rnacentral:rRNA from 1 species
ACGCAGCGACGCCGGCGUGGGUGAUGAAGGCCUUCGGGUCGUAAAGCCCUGUCAAGAGGGACGAAACCUCGUCGCCUAACACGUCGGCGACCUGACGGUACCUCUGAAGGAAGCACCGGCUAACUCCGUGCCAGCAGUCGCGGUAAUACGGAGGGUGCAAGCGUUGUUCGGAAUCACUGGGCGUAAAGCGCGUGUAGGCGGCCUUCUCAGUCUGGUGUGAAAGCCCGGGGCUCACCCCCGGAAGUGCAUUGGAUACUGGAAGGCUGGAGUACCGGAGAGGAGGGUGGAAUUCCUGGUGUAGCGGUGAAAUGCGUAGAUAUCAGGAGGAACACCGGUGGCGAAGGCGGCCCUCUGGACGGAUACUGACGCUGAGACGCGACAGCGUGGGGAGCAAACAGGAUUAGAUACCCUGGUAGUCCACGCCGUAAACGAUGGGUACUAGGUGUUCGGGGUAUUGACCCCCUGAGUGCCGCAGCUAACGCAUUAAGUACCCCGCCUGGGGACUACGGCCGCAAGGCUAA